rnacentral:rRNA from 2 species
CGAACUGGUGAGUAACACGUGGGAAACCUGCCCAGAAGCGGGGGAUAACACCUGGAAACAGAUGCUAAUACCGCAUAACAACUUGGACCGCAUGGUCCGAGCUUGAAAGAUGGCUUCGGCUAUCACUUUUGGAUGGUCCCGCGGCGUAUUAGCUAGAUGGUGGGGUAACGGCUCACCAUGGCAAUGAUACGUAGCCGACCUGAGAGGGUAAUCGGCCACAUUGGGACUGAGACACGGCCCAAACUCCUACGGGAGGCAGCAGUAGGGAAUCUUCCACAAUGGACGAAAGUCUGAUGGAGCAACGCCGCGUGAGUGAAGAAGGGUUUCGGCUCGUAAAACUCUGUUGUUAAAGAAGAACAUAUCUGAGAGUAACUGUUCAGGUAUUGACGGUAUUUAACCAGAAAGCCACGGCUAACUACGUGCCAGCAGCCGCGGUAAUACGUAGGUGGCAAGCGUUGUCCGGAUUUAUUGGGCGUAAAGCGAGCGCAGGCGGUUUUUUAAGUCUGAUGUGAAAGCCUUCGGCUCAACCGAAGAAGUGCAUCGGAAACUGGGAAACUUGAGUGCAGAAGAGGACAGUGGAACUCCAUGUGUAGCGGUGAAAUGCGUAGAUAUAUGGAAGAACACCAGUGGCGAAGGCGGCUGUCUGGUCUGUAACUGACGCUGAGGCUCGAAAGUAUGGGUAGCAAACAGGAUUAGAUACCCUGGUAGUCCAUACCGUAAACGAUGAAUGCUAAGUGUUGGAGGGUUUCCGCCCUUCAGUGCUGCAGCUAACGCAUUAAGCAUUCCGCCUGGGGAGUACGGCCGCAAGGCUGAAACUCAAAGGAAUUGACGGGGGCCCGCACAAGCGGUGGAGCAUGUGGUUUAAUUCGAAGCUACGCGAAGAACCUUACCAGGUCUUGACAUACUAUGCAAAUCUAAGAGAUUAGACGUUCCCUUCGGGGACAUGGAUACAGGUGGUGCAUGGUUGUCGUCAGCUCGUGUCGUGAGAUGUUGGGUUAAGUCCCGCAACGAGCGCAACCCUUAUUAUCAGUUGCCAGCAUUAAGUUGGGCACUCUGGUGAGACUGCCGGUGACAAACCGGAGGAAGGUGGGGAUGACGUCAAAUCAUCAUGCCCCUUAUGACCUGGGCUACACACGUGCUACAAUGGAUGGUACAACGAGUUGCGAACUCGCGAGAGUAAGCUAAUCUCUUAAAGCCAUUCUCAGUUCGGAUUGUAGGCUGCAACUCGCCUACAUGAAGUCGGAAUCGCUAGUAAUCGCGGAUCAGCAUGCCGCGGUGAAUACGUUCCCGGGCCUUGUACACACCGCCCGUCACACCAUGAGAGUUUGUA